rnacentral:rRNA from 1 species
GACGAACGCUGGCGGCGUGCCUAAUACAUGCAAGUAGAACGCUGAAGGAGGAGCUUGCUUCUCUGGAUGAGUUGCGAACGGGUGAGUAACGCGUAGGUAACCUGCCUGGUAGCGGGGGAUAACUAUUGGAAACGAUAGCUAAUACCGCAUAAUAGUAGAUGUUGCAUGACAUUUGCUUAAAAGGUGCAAUUGCAUCACUACCAGAUGGACCUGCGUUGUAUUAGCUAGUUGGUGGGGUAACGGAUCACCAAGGCGACGAUACAUAGUCGACAUGAGAGGGUGGUCAGCCAGACUGGGAGGGAGACACGGCACAGAGGGAUUGGGGAGGCAGCCGGAGGGAAUCGUCGGCCAGGGACGGAAGUCUGAGCGAGAAACGCCGAGGGCGUGAAGAAGGUUGUCGGGUCGUAAAGCUCUGUUGUAAGAGAAGAAAGAGCGUUAGAGUGGAAAGUUGACAGUGUGACGGUAACUGAUCAGAAAGGGACGGCUAACUACGUG